rnacentral:rRNA from 1 species
AUGUCGAGCGCCGCCACCACCGGUUCCACUGCUGCGGGCUUUCUCCCGGCCUCUCUUGCGGCUCUGCUCAACCUCCCGCUCGAUGCCGUCUCCGUUCCGGCUCCGAUCGGGACAAGGAGCAUCGGCUCCGUCUUCUCCACGCCGCCGGCGCCCUCGCCUGGGCGUGACCUCGUAGUCCACACCGCGGCGCCGCCGUCUGCUGCGGACUCCGCAGGCGUCGUCCCGCCGCUCCUGCCGCAAGCGGAUCACACCGCCCCGCUGGCGGGGUUGGCGGCGUCUGCCCCGGCCGCCAGCCUUGCGGCGUCCGAACCGGCCGCGAGCUUUGCGGCGCCCGCCCUGGCUGCGGUCCCGCCUCCUCCCGCAUCGGCUUCGGUGCCUCUGGCUGCCUCCAUGGUGUUUGCACCCCAGGCAGCCUCCUCGAUGGGAUCGUCUUCGCCGCCGCCGUUUCACUUCGGUCAUCUCAUCACCAUCAAGCUCUCCGCCGACAACUACAUCUUCUGGCGUGCGCAGGUUCUCCCGCUCUUGGGGAGUCACUACCUGCUAGGCUACGUCGACGGAUCGCUUCCCUGCCCACCCGCGUUGGUAGACAGCGUGCACGGUCCGGUCUACAAUCCGGCCCAUCGCGUCUGGACGGGGCAGGACCAGGCGAACCUCUCCUCCAUCCAGGGGUCGCUCUCGCCGGCAGUUGUCGGCCUUGUUGUCUUCGCGAAGACGUCUCAUGAGGCCUGGACCAUCCUUGAGCGCACCUUUGCAGCGCAGUCCCAGGCUCGUGUCUCUGCACUCCGUUGUCAGCUUGGAGAAUGUCAGAAGCUUGACUCCACUGCCACUGAGUUCUACAACAAGGUCAAGGGCCUCGCCGACACAUUGGCCUCCAUUGGACAGCCCCUCACCGACUCCGAGUUCAACUCGUUUAUUGUCAAUGGUCUUGAUGAGGAGUAUGAUGCCUUAGUCGAGAUCAUCAACGAGCGGGGCAACUCGACACCCAUGCUGGCACACGAGGUUUUCUCUCGGCUCCUUCUCACUGAGCAACGGGUCGAGACUCGCCGCACCAGGGGCACUGGCUCCCUCUCGGCCAACGCCGCCACCAAGGGUGGCCGCUCUUCUUCAUCACCCCGGUCUCCCUUGGGGCUGCCACCGUCGCCCGCCUCGGCCCCCCCACCUACUGCGACCUUACCGGGGGCUGGCGGUCCACGUGUGUGUCAGCUUUGUGGCCGCGAUGGGCACUGGGCCUCCAAGUGUCAUAAGCGCUUCCAGCGAAGCUUCCUUGGUCUUGGCAAUGACGGCAAAGAUACACGCAACAAUGCCCUUCAGGUCGCCAUGGCUGAUCGUCCCGCGCCGCAGAAGCAACAGGGACACACUCAGUCCUACUCCAUCGAUCCACACUGGUACAUGGACUCUGGGGCGACAGAGCAUCUGACCAGCGAGAUGGGGAAGCUUCACACUCGUGAACCCUAUCAUGGCUCCGACAAGAUCCACACCGCCAAUGGAGCAGGUAUGCACAUCUCUCAUAUUGGUCAAGCAUCUCUUCUCACUAGACAUGCCAAUAGGAAUCUUCAGCUUCGCAAUGUUCUUCGAGUUCCAUCUGUGACCCGUAAUCUUCUUUCAGUUCCUAAACUCACACGUGAUAAUAAUGUGCUUUGUGAAUUUCACCCUUUUGAUCUUUUUAUUUAG